AACGAACGCUGGCGGCAUGCCUAACACAUGCGAGUCGAACGAGACCUUCGGGUCUAGUGGCGCACGGGUGCGUAACGCGUGGGAACCUGCCCUUAGGUUCGGAAUAACUCCCCGAAAGGGGUGCUAAUACCGGAUAAUGUCUUCGGACCAAAGAUUUAUCGCCUUUGGAUGGGCCCGCGUUGGAUUAGCUAGUUGGUAGGGUAAAAGCCUACCAAGGCGACGAUCCAUAGCUGGUCUGAGAGGAUGGUCAGCCACACUGGGACUGAGACACGGCCCAGACUCCUACGGGAGGCAGCAGUGGGGAAUAUUGGACAAUGGGCGAAAGCCUGAUCCAGCAAUGCCGCGUGAGUGAUGAAGGCCUUAGGGUUGUAAAGCUCUUUUACCCGGGAUGAUAAUGACAGUACCGGGAGAAUAAGCUCCGGCUAACUCCGUG
rnacentral:rRNA from 1 species